rnacentral:rRNA from 1 species
AUUGAACGCUGGCGGCAUGCCUUACACAUGCAAGUCGAACGGCAACAGGUCAUGGGCUGCUGCCGAGUGGCGGACGGGGGCGUACUACUGCGGAACGUGCCCGAACGUGGGGGUUCACGGAGCGUAAGGUUUGCUAAUACAGCAUAAGACCUCAUGCUGCCAGCGGGGGACCGCAGGGCAUCGUGCGGCCGGGCCCGCUGAUGGCAGAUUAGGUCGUAGGGGGGAUAAAGGCUGACCAAGCCGACGAUCUGUAGCUGGUCUGAGAGGACGAGCAGCCACACUGGGACUGAGACACGGCCCAGACUCCUACGGGAGGCAGCAGUGGGGAAUUUUGGACAAUGGGCGAAAGCCUGAUCCAGCCAUGCCGCGUGGAGGAUGAAGGCCUUCGGGUUGUAAACUGCUUUUGUACGGAACGAAAAGACGCUUGCUAAUAAAGAGGUUUCAUGACGGUACCGAAAGAAUAAGCACCGGCUAACUACGUG